GAUGAACGCUGCGGCGUGCCUAAUACAUGCAGGUCGAGCGAACGGACGAGAAGCUUGCUUCUCUGAUGUUAGCGGCGGACGGGUGAGUAACACGUGGAUAACCUACCUAUAAGACUGGGAUAACUUCGGGAAACCGUAGCUAAUACCGGAUAAUAUUUUGAACCGCAUGGUUCAAAAGUGAAAGACUGUCUUGCUGUCACUUAUAGAUGGAUCCGCGCUGCAUUAGCUAGUUGGUAAGGUAACGGCUUACCAAGGCAACGAUGCAUAGCCGACCUGAGAGGGUGAUCGGCCACACUGGAACUGAGACACGGUCCAGACUCCUACGGGAGGCAGCAGUAGGGAAUCUUCCGCAAUGGGCGAAAGCCUGACGGAGCAACGCCGCGUGAGUGAUGAAGGUCUUCGGAUCGUAAAACUCUGUUAUUAGGGAAGAACAUAUGUGUAAGUAACUGUGCACAUCUUGACGGUACCUAAUCAGAAAGCCACGGCUAACUACGUG
rnacentral:rRNA from 1 species